UACAGAGGUCCCAAGCGUUGUUCGGAUUCAUUGGGCGUAAAGGGUGCGUAGGCGGCGCGGUAAGUCGGGUGUGAAAUCUCGGGGCUUAACUCCGAAACUGCAUUCGACUACUGCCGUGCUUGAGGACUGGAGAGGAGACUGGAAUUUACGGUGUAGCGGUGAAAUGCGUAGAUAUCGUAAGGAAGACCAGUGGCGAAGGCGGGUCUCUGGACAGUUCCUGACGCUGAGGCACGAAGGCCAGGGGAGCAAACGGG
rnacentral:rRNA from 1 species